AACCCAUGCAUCAAACAUUUUUAAAGGAAAUCCUUGAAUCUUUCCCAUGCCUCAUACAAGCUUUCAUCUUCCAACAGUUUGAAUGAAUUAAGGUCAUUUUAAAGUUU